GACGAACGCUGGCGGCGUGCUUAACACAUGCAAGUCGAACGGAAAGGCCCUGCUUUUGUGGUGUUCUCGAGUGGCGAACGGGUGAGUAACACGUGAGUAACCUGCCCUUGACUUUGGGAUAACUUCAGGAAACUGGGGCUAAUACCGGAUAGGAGCUCCUGCUGCAUGGUGGGGGUUGGAAAGUUUAGGCGGUUGGGGAUGGACUCGCGGCUUAUCAGCUUGUUGGUGGAGUAGUGGCUUACCAAGGCUUUGACGGGUAGCCGGCAUGAGAGGGUGACCGGGGACAAUGGGACUGAGAGACGCACCAGACGCCUACGGGAGGCAGAAGUGGGGAGUAUGACACAAUGGGGGGGAGCCUGAUGCAGAAACGCCGGGUGCGGGAUGAAGGCCUUCGGGGUGUAAACCGCUUUCGCCUGUGACGAAGCGUGAGUGACGGUAAUGGGUAAAGAAGCACCGGCUAACUACGUG
rnacentral:rRNA from 1 species